rnacentral:piRNA from 1 species
UAAUUUACUAAAACCAAUACUUGAGUCA